GGCCUCGUAGCUCAGUGGAGAGAGCGCCGGUCUACGAAACCGGGUCUGCCGCAGGUUCAAGUCCUGCCGGGGCCACGA
rnacentral:tRNA from 1 species